rnacentral:rRNA from 1 species
AACGAUGGUUAACGGGUCUGAGAGGAUGAUCCGUCGACACUGGCACUGGAACACGGGCCAGACUCCUACGGGAGGCAGCAGUGAGGAAUAUUGCGCAAUGGGGGUAACCCUGACGCAGCGACGCCGCGUGGGUGAGGAAGGCCUUCGGGUCGUAAAGCCCUGUCAGGUGGGAAGAAGUGCUCAUGGGCUAAUAUCCCCUGGGUUUGACGGUACCACCAAAGGAAGCACCGGCUAACUCCGUGCCAGCAGCCGCGGUAA